GACGAACGCUGGCGGCGUGCUUAACACAUGCAAGUCGAACGGAAAGGCCCUGCUUUUGUGGGGUGCUCGAGUGGCGAACGGGUGAGUAACACGUGAGUAACCUGCCCUUGACUUUGGGAUAACUUCAGGAAACUGGGGCUAAUACCGGAUAGGAGCUCCUGCUGCAUGGUGGGGGUUGGAAAGUUUCGGCGGUUGGGGAUGGACUCGCGGCUUAUCAGCUUGUUGGUGGGGUAGUGGCUUACCAAGGCUUUGACGGGUAGCCGGCCUGAGAGGGUGACCGGCCACAUUGGGACUGAGAUACGGACCAGAAUCCUACGGGAGGCAGCAGGGGGGAAUAUUACACAAUGGGGCGAAGCCUGAUGCAGACACGCCGGGUGCGGGAUGACGGCCUUCGGGGUGUAAACCGCUUUCGCCUGUGACGAAGCGUGAGUGACGGUAAUGGGUAAAGAAGCACCGGCUAACUACGUG
rnacentral:rRNA from 1 species